rnacentral:tRNA from 1 species
UCCCUGGUGGUCCAGUGGCUAAGACUCUGUGUUCCCAAUGCAGGGGCCUGGGUUGGAUCCCUGGUCAGGGAA